rnacentral:rRNA from 1 species
AGGAUGAACGCUGGCGGCGUGCCUAGUACAUGCAAGUCGAGCGGUAAGGCCCCUUCGGGGGUACACGAGCGGCGGACGGCUGAGUAACACGUAGGAACGUACCCCAAACUGAGGGAUAAGCACCAGAAAUGGUGUCUAAUACCGCAUGUGGUCUUCGGAUUAAAGCUUCGGCGGUUUGGGAACGGCCUGCGCAUGAUUAGCUUGUUGGUGAGGUAAAAGCUUACCAAGGCGACGAUCAUUAGCUGGUCUGAGAGGAUGAUCAGCCAGACUGGGACUGAGAACGGCCCAGACUCCUACGGGAGGCAGCAGUAGGGAAUUUUCCACAAUGGGCGAAAGCCUGAUGGAGCAACGGCCGCGUGCAGGACGAAGGCCUUCGGGUUGUAAACUGCUUUUAUAUGUGAAGAUUAUGACGGUAGCAUAUGAAUAAGGAUCGGCUAACUCCGCGCCAGCAGCCGC